ensembl:lncRNA
UUAAAAUUACCGGAAAGUCAAAUUUAACAUUAAGGGUCAUUGUCUUCAUCCGUCACUUGUGUUCAAUCCCGGACGCACCACCAGAGGGCACCGAUGGACCAACACGCUGCUCUGCUCCCCAACAGGGGACGACAACAGCGUGUGUUGUAGCCAUGACGAUGCAUGUUUCGUGUGUGUGUGUGUGUGUGUGUGUGUUACAAUAAAUAUACAUUUAUGAUCAUUUUGACUUUUUUGGAUAUUGGAAAUGUGUAAAGAAACACAAAAAUAUUAAUAUACAUUUUUGUAAAAUGUUCUUUAGUAAUCAUUUAUUUGUUUCUUAUUAAUUAAAUAUCACUCACAGAUGUUAAACAUUCAUCAAAUAACCGGUUGAAUACACAUUUACUUUGUGUUGAUCAGUUUGAUGGGUCGAGGUCUUGUACACACUGAAUGUGUGUAGUGUGUUUGUGUGUCUGUCACAGAGUCGUGUGUCUCUACUCUCACAGGUUUUUGUACGGCGGUUCGAUGCCUUCGUGUCACUGUGGUGGACGUUUGGUGGAGGAACCAGACUGAGCGUGGGACGGCAGCAGCAGCAGCUGGGGAGGAGAGCAGGAGCCCCGGGGUGCUGGGGGGGGGGCGCCCUCUACAGCUGGAGCAGCACCCUGGAGGCUCCCUGCAGACCAGUGGGCCGAGUUGGG